rnacentral:lncRNA from 12 species
AAAUCCAAAUGAAUUAAGGAGAAGGGGACGAUGGAGAACGUGGCCAGAUCAUUUCGAUUCUGGCCACAGAGUUGCUGCAGAGGCGUGAACUUGCUGCACGGAUGUUCCUCCGGGAGGCCUGUAGCUGCCCCUACAGAGGCCAAUUUGGGAUGAUUUCCUUCGAUACUCGAGUCACAGAGCAUUCACUACCUGAAAUAAGAAGUACAGGAUUUAAGAUCAUAAACUUUUCCUGAACAUACUUGCAUCUCAGCCCAUCAUGUGGUUCUUAGGAGAUUCCCUGAGGCCCUCCUUGAGCUGUGGGGCCCAUCGCCACUGGGUGAGCUGCCAGAAGACCAUCCUUUGCUUCUCUGGGUCCACAAAGUCAGCUCUGGACCAGAGACUAGACCGUCUCAAACCCAGGCAGAAGGCCAGGCGGGGCGUCGAUGAUGCCCAGGUGGCGUGGCUUCUGGAGACGGAGAAGAGGCAUCGGGCGGGCCCCUGAGACCCCAACAAGGCUCUUGGCUGACAUCAGGCUGUGCAGCUACAUCCUUGAGGUAAUUGGCUCUGCCACACAUCACUCUCUGCGGAGACGUCAAGCCACCUGGCACCGGGCUGGGGUCCCACCAUUCGAGAACAGAAGCACGAGGGUCCUGUGGGUGUGGACCUGGUGGCCUGUUUGCUAUUCACGGGGGGCCGGCUGGAAGGGAGGUGCGGGGCUGAGCAAGUGCAGGCUCGGACCGGGGUCGCCGUCCCUACCAGGCCGUCAGAGGGGUCGGAGGGGUCGGAGGUCCAGAGUCCUGCUCCGUGGAGGCCCCCUGUUCCCGGGGUGUGGCUCAGCAGGCAGCUUCUUGCUGCAGGCCGGUUCCCACCACUUGACUCAGUUUCACUGUUGAAAUAUUGAAAUCAGCUUCUUUAAAAAAAUAUAUAUUUUAUUUAUUUAUUCCUGAGACACACAGAGAGAGGCAGAGACACACAGGCAGAGGGAGAAGCAGGCUCCCUGCAGGGACCCCUGAUGCGGGACUUGAUCCCGGGACUCCAGAGUCAUGCCCUGAGCCAAAGGCAGAUGCUUAACGGCUGAGCCCCCCAGGUGUACCUGAAAGCAGCUUCUUAAAUGGAUUCCUGGAAUCUGGAGACCGGCUUUCAGAAGCAGUGAAAAUGUGCACAGGAUGAAAGCAGAGAACCAGGUCUGCUUGAGAAAAGUAAUUGAGAGGAUCAGAGCUGCUACAUCCUCUGGUGCCCAGACGCACUGCUGGAGAUUAGGUGGGGAGGUGGGUGGCCCAGCUUCCAGCCGGCUGGCUGCGCUCGCACUGAGCGGCCGUCCCUCUGGACACGUCAGUGACAGCAGCAUCCACGCCUGUGAGGCUCCCGCUGGUGCCCCGGCCCCUGAUGUCCAACGGUGGUGAAUUCAAACUGGGCCAGCUGGAUGCUAAUUGCAUGUCAG